GCAGGAUUUGCUACUGCUGCUGCUGUUGCUGCUGCUGCUCCUUCUGAAGUUGCUGCUGCUGCUGCUGCUGCUGCAGGGACUUGAGGUAGGCAUGCUCCUGCUGCAGCUGCCUUUGGAGACGUUACUGCCGCUGCUCCUCUAGUUGCUUCCGCUUAUAUUCCUGCUCUUGCUCAACCUGCCGCUGCUCCUCCUGCCGCAGAGCCUGAAUGUCCUCUAGCCGCCACUGCUGCUCCUUUUCCUUCAGAUUCUGCUGCUUGCGCUCUCAACGCUGUUGCUCCUCAGCUCCUCGCCGCUCCUCCUCUCGCUCCUCUAUUCGACGCUGCCGCUGGUGCAACAGGUGUUUGAUGUGCUCCUCAGGGUCUCGCUGUUGCUGCUGCUGCUGCUUUAAAGCCUCGGAGUUGUCCUUAUUCUCCUGCUGGAGCCGGAGGAAUUCCUGGCGUAGUGUGAACUCCCCAGGCACAUUCAUGAUGGAGCUUGGCUCUCCUUCUUCUCCAUGGCUGUCAUCUUCUUCUUCACUGCCGCUAUACUCAUAUUCUGUCUCCUCUUUCUUGCCCCGCUUCUUCCGGGACCGGUCAACGUGGUCCUUGAGCUGGAUGGGGACCUGCCGCUCUGUGGGCUGGUCUCAGAUGAAGGGAAGCUUCAGUAGCUGCUCGGUUGGCGGUCGGCUCAGGUCGAUCACUGAACCAGCACCACAGAACUCCAUCACCAGCCAGAGCUGGCCAUCAUUCCCAGGGGCGCUCUUCUUGAUGAAGGCCCCAUAGUAGGUGGCAAUGUUGUGGAGGGCCCCUGGCAUGUGGCUUGUUGAAGUGAAUGAGUUGAUGAGAUGCUAGUUCAUGAUUCUCCAUCCCCUAUUGUUGAAGUGUACAUGGCUGGGGCUGCAGCUAGAAGACCAAGAAUUCCAGUUAAGUGACAGCCAGGUGAGCCCAGAGUGGUUUCCUUUGGCAGAGGUUUAAAGUCAGGUUUUGCCUUUAUGAUCAUUUUUCAUUUGUUUAAUGUGUUUAUUUGUUUCAUUUGUUUAUUUAAUGUGUUUCUUUUUCACUGACACAGAAUAAUUGUAUUUAUGGUGGUCACUUUUUAAUUGAGAUAAAAUUUAUGUAACAUAAAACUAGUUUUGAAGAAUAUAGUUCAUUAGCAUGUUCACAACAUUGUGCAACCAUUACCUCUAGCUAGUUUCAAAAUAUUUUAACCAUCCCCCAAAGAAGCUCCAUUCCCAUGAGCUCCUCAGUCCCUCUCCUCCCAUCCCCUGGAAACCACUAAUCUACUCUGUGAAUUUGCCUAUUCUGGAGAUUUCCUAUAAAUGAGCCAUAUAAUCUUUUUUCCUUCACUGUCUGGCUUUUACACACAGUGACAAAUAAUGCUCUCCAGGUUCACCCACAUUGCAGUGUGGACAAGAACUCCACUCCUUCCUCUGGCUGAGUAGCAUCACAUCACGUGGAUGUGCCACAGUGUGUUAAUUUAUCCAUCUGCUGAUAGACUCUUGGGUUGUCCCACCUCUGGGUAAAACAAAUGGCACUGCUGUGAGCAUAGAUGCGCAAGACCUGUCUGGAUAGGAUUACAUGGCCACCUCUGGGCUGUCUGUCUAGGUUCCAGCUGUGGGGCCCCUUGAUUCUACUUCCUGUGGUCCUGCCCAUACCUCUUUCUACCCCAAGGAGUUUGGUGGUCCAUCCUCCUGUUAGGCUCCCUUGUCUCUCCAGCCCUCCUGUAGAGCAGGACAAGAUGUAAAGUAACUUCCAUCAUGGGGCUCAGUGGUAGUGUGCUUGCUUAGCACAUGCAAGGCUCUGGAUUCCAUCCUUAGCACCACAAAAAAUAAAUAACAAAACAGCUUCCAUCUGCUUCCUCCCAAAGUCAGAACACAUGCAAUCCUAGCCCAGUCCCCUGAGCCUUGGUAGCCUCUACAGCCUCUCCCUUUUCAACCCCUUCAAGUGUGGGGAUAUAGAGCGAUGUCCUCCCCUACAGUGUCUUUAUCUCAAAACACCCUUCUCUCUGAUCUCUAACUCCUUCUUGGGAAUUUGCUUCUCGGUAGCUAGUCUCUUUCAGGCUGGAGAAGGAUGGUCAUGGUGGAGCACAGAUGAGGCCAGAUGAGCCGUACUUCAUUUCAUGGUCCCUGUCCAAACCAGAAAACAGGGUUUAAUGGGCCAAAUUGUUCCCACCCUCAAAUUCAUAUAUUGAAGUCCUGUAUUAGUCAGCCCUCUGUUGCUAUAACAAAAUAUCUGAGGCUAGGUACUGUAAUCCAGCUGUGGGAGCUGUUGUGAGAUAUGUCAGUCAAAGCCUGGGUGUCUGAGGAGUCCUGGAGGACAUGACCUCAUCAUUAGCACAGGUGCAGGACAGGCUUACUUAUGUAACCAUAAGUUAACCAUGCAUGUGCAGCAUGGCCUGCAAGGUCACACAGUUGUUGCUUUUCAGUAUGCCUUAUUAUGUGAUAAUGGACUACUAUAACUGCUGGGAAAAUAAAGAAGCUUUGCUGCUGUUUGUGCCAAUGUCUGCCCCACAUGCCUUCUUUUCUUGGAGACUCACCUGAAAGAAACCCACUUCAGCCACUAGACCUCAACACUUGGUGUAGUUGGCAGAGGUGAGUGUUCCUGUGGUGUCUGUGUAAGCAGCACCCUAUAGCGAAGUAGAACCCAGGGGAGCUGCUGAUAUGAGUCCCUCAGCCUCAUUCGAGAUGCUGGUAGCUACCUUCUUGGCAGCUUGAAAAUCUCCAGAAGACUGGGAGGUGGUUUGUCUGACACAUGGAGAUGUUUUACAGGCUUUGGAAACAUUGGAAACACAGAUUCCUUUCCCCCACCAUGAAUCAGUGGGGUAAGCAGCUUGGUUGUUUUAUAUUCUCUUCUGCUAUGUGAGACUGUGCCUGCAUGGCUGUUACAGCUGUGGUACAAGGGGGCUGACAAGAUGGAGUUAAACCCAUAAGGGAUGUUCCAGUUAGCCAGCAUAGCCAGCACCUCCUCUACGUGUUGAGUUUUACAAGGUGCACAGAGACUGGCCUGUGGGACAGGUGACCAGACCUUGAUAAAUUGGCUGAUGUCAGCACCCCAUCUGGUUUGGGAAAGCCUGAGCAAGUCAUUAAAUGGACAACCUACCUGGACUUAGUAGGUGUGCUCUGAGAAAUGUCCCAGAUGGUGUUUGCUGCCAAGUACUGUAGCCAUGAUUGACUGACAUAGAGGUGAAACACCAGGGUAAGAUGAGACCUGUCAAGACUUAGUUACUGGGGCAAAGGGGAGGGGGAAGUGGGAGGGCUAGGGGAAAGGAAAGAAGGGAAUGGGAUUAAUAUGGGAAAAUGAAACAAUGGAAACAAAAUCUUUGUAAAUAGGGAGGGAUGGAGGGUUUGAAGAGAGGGCAGGGGAAGGGGGAAUAAAUAAGAACCAAGAGAGACUAUGUAAAGGUGCAUAUCUCCAAUGAUGAAUGUCAUUGUAUUGUACACCUAAAAUGUACCAAUAAAAGGAUAUACAUAAAAGAAAAACCAAAACCAAAACAGCGAAGGAAGAGAGUAGGAGAGAGAGAGAGAGAGAGAGAGAGAGAGAGAGAGAAGGCUUAGUUACCAAAGGAAAAGAAACAAGUGGCCACAGGCCGAGCAAGCCCAACCCCACAGGGACAGACACUCGGUGCAUUGAAGGUGAGCCAGUGCCAAAUAUGGGCAGACCUUAGCAGCUGAUAAGCUAGAUGGGCAUCCCUUAGACAUGUUGUCUCUGUGGAAGCAAUUGCAUCCUCACCAGCAAUACUGGCUGAUGGGCCCAAAGGUCAUGGCAGCCCCAGUGAAACAGGAUGAGAUGAUGCUGGCAGUUUUUUAUCCAGACUAGGAGAUAGGCCAAGGUGCCUGGUUGCUAGGGACCCCAGGAGACUGGAGGCUACAUGUGGAAUUAACUAUUUAUUCGUCCCCCCAAAAUGUGCAGCAUAUGCUGGUGCUGGUAGAUACUGGAGUCGAGUCAACACUAAUUUAUAGCCACCCAGACAAUUUCACACAACCUACUGCAUGCAUAGGAGAGUAUAGAGGCCACUAUAUUAUGGUCUGGAAGAUCAAGGUGACCUUGGCUAUCAGGCAUUUGGCCCCAUGCCCAUAUGAUUGAUGUCUGUUUCCCCAGUUGCUGAAUAUAUCCUGGAGGUGGACAUACUGACUGGUGCCUGGUUGAACACUAUGCAGGGAGAAUUCCAUUAUCCAAGGACAUCCUCACCAAGCACAGUUAAGUCCUGCAGGCAAUGUGGGUUGUGUGUAUGAAGCAGUGCUGGCUGCCUGGGGGUCAUGAGGAAAUAGGAAAGACUGUUUUGAAAUUGGAAGAUCCUGGAGUGAUAAGCCCUACCCAGAGUCCUUUCCAUUCACUGAUUUGGCCCAUGUAGAACCCAGACUAUUGGGAACCGAAAAAAGUAACUCCUCCAUUGCAUGCAGAGGUACCCAAUAUUGCAGACUUGAUGGACCAGCUCACCCUGACACUGGGUUGAUACCAUUAUGUAGUGGACUUGGCCAUUGCUUUGUUCUCCAUUGCUGUCUUGCCUGAUAGUCAAGACCAAUUUGCCUUCAGCUGGGAAGGCAGCAAUGGACCUUUCAAAUGUUGCCAUAAGGCUAUUUGCAUAACCCUACUUUGUGUCAUGGCCUGGUGGCCCAGGACCUGGCCACCUGGACCAAGCCACACUCUGUGUCUUUGUUCCAUUAUAUUGAUCAACCUCUGAUUGCCUUAGAGAUUUGGAAGCUGCUGCAUGUAGUCUGAAAGAAGCUUUGCUGGUCUAGGGGUGGACCAUCAACAAAAACAAGGUCCAGGGACCUGGCUUGUCUUUCAAAUUCUUGGGUGUUAUCUGGUUAGGUAAGACAAAAGUAAUCCUCAAUGAAAUAACUGAUAAGAGCCAGGGAUACCUCAGAUUUACAACUAUAUGCCAGUUACAAGCUUAUGUGACCUAGGUUUCUGGUGGACUUUCAUACUAUACCUAGCUACCUUGCUUCACCCAUUAUACCAGAUGACCUAGAAGGGUGCAACAUGAGACUGGGUUGAAGUAGUGGACACUACUUUUCAGGAUUCAAAAAUGGCAGUCACACACGUACAAGCCCUCCUUAUUGUUGACCUUCCCUGCCUUUUAUUCUAACUGUGAACGUGGAUGAGUACAGGGAAUGGGAAAGGGGACAUUACCAGAACCCCUGUAGUGGGUGCUGGUCUCCUGUGAGCCACAACAGUGCAAGGCUAAUUAGAGAAUAAAGACAGGAAAUGAGACUUAGAGAAAAGGUUGAGUCUUGGGCCUGAUCAGUGCUCCUCUAGAUAGCAAAGACAAAGGCACUCUGAGCUUGCUACUGUUUAUUGAGUUUAUAGAGAGUAUCAGAUGUCUCUGAGGGCAGCAAUAAUCAUAAACUGACAAGGAUCUUAUAAUUGGAGGCAGUAUCAGAUGACUCCAAGGGUGGCAGUAUUCCUAUGAUGAUAAGGAUCUUAUGCUGAUAAGGAUCUCAGGUUGAUGAGUUUAUGUUGAUUAGGGUGGUAAGAUGAGCAAAAACAUUCUUACAACAGUAGGUGGGAUGAGUUAAGCUGAUAAGGAAUUUUUCCCUCCACAGGUGCAACCUUUCUCUUUUUGUAUUAUUACUCAGUUCUCAAAGAAUCAAGAUGCCUUCAGCUGAUGUAAUCUUGCCCUUGAGUAUCACGGCAUCACGGGACCAUUGAGGCCUCAGCUGUGACUGGAG
rnacentral:lncRNA from 1 species